CCGGGCGUACGCGCCGUCCAAGCCCAGGAAUAGAACGAGGCGUCGCGGCAGGGGUUGUCUGCGGCCCACGUGAGCGAGGCAAGGGGCGGCCCGAGACGGUCGAUAGUGGCGCUGUCGUCGUUGUCCGCGAGGUAGAGGGUCGCGGCGCCGGUCGCAGGGAGGACGGGGGCACCGGCGGCUGGUGAACUCGGAGGCUGCGGCUGUGCGACGACGUCCGUGGUGGUGGCGACAGCUACGACGACGCGACCACGAUGCGGCAGGGGAUGGAGGCUUCCUCGCCUGGGCUUGGGCGCGUCAGCACGGCGUUGGGCCGUUGCCGGUGGCGUCGAGGCCGGCGCACGCAUGGACAGGGCGCCCAAGGGUGAGCCGCCGCGACGUGUGGGCGGGCUGAGCCGGGCGUUCAACCACGAUGCGGCGGGGAUGAAAGCCGCCUUGCCGGGGCUUGCGGGGCAGCACGGCGUCGGGCCGUUGAGCAGAUCUUCUCCAUCCACGAGUCCAACUUCCUGUUUGGCGCGCAGGCGCUGGAGCCGGCAGGGGCGUGCUCUGCGGGGCACGCUCGCCGCGGCCGUGCUGGUCAGGCUCGAGCGCUGACUGCGGGAGCUGUCCGGGAACCCCGAGGCCCGCGUAGUGGACUACUUCAAGCAGGGUCCGGCGCCGGAUGGUUCCUGGCGGCUGCGUUGUUCGCGCGCCGGAUGCCGGCGGAGGCGGCGUGCGACGUCGUGGCCAAGAACCGCAAGGUGUUCUCCGGGCGCCACGGCCGCGGUGGGUUCUUCUCCGGGGCCGAUGCAGGUUUUGUAAUUGCUUGAAGUUGUCCAGUUCAGAUGUCCAUACACUUCAAUGAAAUACCCUCAGCUGCUUUCCAAUCUGAGAGUUGAAUCGAAGGUGUGCAUUUGAACCCGUGAAAUUAUUAUUUUGUUUUUUCGUAUCUCAUCAGUUUUUUGAUUCUUAGAUUGAAGAGAUCCUACGGAAUUCUACAACAUCUGAAUUUGGUAGUGUAUAUUAUUUUUCGGAGAGAGGUGAUUGAAUGAUUGAUCUUGAUGUGUUCCAUCAAAAGCUUAUCUAGGUUGCUUGUUCAGUCCUGUUCAUAUUGGGUUUGAGAUUAUUAUGUUCUUCAAGUUGCUUCUCUUGAUGUUUAGAUGUCUCAAGAACUGCGCACACAAUUGAGCGAGUCUGAGAAAGGAGAGCUAAAAGAAUCGUUCCAUCAUAUGCUGAAAUGGGCCUGGAGAUAUAAUAAAUAUCUUGAAGAACAGGCAGCCCAGCUUCACAUGUUAACUAGCUGGUCGAAAACUGUUGAAGUGAGUUGUGUGUGUGCAUGACCACUUAAUCUUUUCUGUUGGGAAUUUCAUAUUGUAACCCGCUUAUUGUUAAUUUCAGGUAGCUGUAUCAAGAAGUAAUAAUUUUAAGACAUUGAAGUUCAGAACCUCUAUUGAAACUCUUUCGUAGUAUUAUAUGAACUUCUGUAUUUGAACUCUUUCAUAGACGUUUAUACUGAGGUUGCUCUUCUAUAGACAUUUAUAGAGGUUGCUCUUUUAUAGACAUUUCGAAGCAAGCCGCUAAGCCCAAGUCUCGAAUCAGGAUUGUCGUCGUUCGUCAGUCCCAAUGCAGCUAGGAGAUUGUGGCGGCAGCGGUGGGUUUUGGGUCGGCGAGCUGCAGGGAUUUGCUGGACGCACGCCAUCACAUGUCGAGCCACACAUAGUGACCGAUGGUGGCGGAUUAGAGUUGGAAUUCAAGAGGUUUGUGUGGUUUCAGUUAUCCGAUGAUUGGGCGAGAGCGGAGCAACAGAGGCCGGCCAAGAACAUGACCAGGGAUAACACAUCUUGCUUGAUUUCCCGAGCGACCUAAGGUUGGUUGCAUCCUGCAUGACCUCAUAUUGUUCAUGAGAGUUUUGUGAUGUUCUUUUUUUAGAGAAGUUUUGUGAUCUUAAUUCAUGAGACAUUUGACGUGGUACUAUGUGGCUGUAAACGUAAUCUGCAAUUCAGAGCAAACAGAGUGAACAAACCAAGGACAUGCAGGUUAGUCCGUUAGUGUCUUACUUUUCUUUUUGUAAUUCUAUCGUACUGUAUAGUUAGUACAAAAUCAUCAAAUAUUCAGGAUAUGUUUAUAAUUUUGUGAAACUGAAAUGUGCAACAUGUUCAGUGGACUGGUGAAUUAUAAUUUUGUGAAACUGAAAUGUGUUACUGAAACCUGACUGGUGAUGAACUAACCGAUUCACACAAAGGCUUGCUGAUAACAACUUGAGUUGGCCGAGUCUCGCCGAGUUGAGCGUGGAGUAGAAGGUGUCGAGUGAACUUGAGUCAGUGUCAUUCGCUGUAAUGAUCGCCCGGGCGGCCGUGUAGCUGUCUUAGAUGGAGUCCAAGGGGAAGACCAAGAGGAGGUGCGAUAAGAUUGAGCUUUCCAGAAUUUUGGGGAGGUGGCGCUUGUCGCACUCAAAACUUUUAUUUGUAUAUGUUGCAUGCUACUACCUCCUAAUCAAUAUGUCAUUGAAAUGAAGUAGAUGCAGCUCUUCAUAGAUAUUGUCACAUGUUCUGGUUUGCAGGUUAAAUAUUUGAUGCCCUCAUUUUGGUAAUGAGAGCAAUGCAAUAUUCUGAAGGUCACACAUAUGAGGGAAACUGGCAUGUGUCUAUCUCUCAGGCUGGAAACUGCAAUUUGUGUUCUGAGCUACGAGCUCCAAAUAAAUUAGUUUUCUCUGUUCUUCAAGUUGUUAUGUUAUUUCAGGAUUGGCAUUACUAAUAAUGCGGAGGGGUUUUUCCAUUCAAUAAAAUAUUAAAUUCCAAAUUCGUUGCCAGUUUCUAUAAGUAUUGUACUAUUUUGUUAGAUUGUUGUUUGCCAUUUAUAUCAAUUGCCAUUCUUACCCACUUCCUCUGAUUGUAGCUCUUUGUGUGAAUCGGUUAGUUCAUCACCAGUCAGGUUUCUUAAAAUUUCAGGCAAGUAAAUUGAUAUGCAAUGUACAAUCAAUUGAUGAAUUGAUAAUUUGGUGUAGCAUGGAGAUCGAUCUCAUUGGUACAUAUAUUCUUCAGUUGGAAUAAGGCAAUCUGUAUGUUGUCUAUAAUCUCACACUUGAGUUUUGAGCACUGUUCUCACCUUCUUUACUUGAUAAAAAAAAUCAUUAUUCAACUUUGUUCUCUCAUGAUCACAUCGCAAGUUGUAUGGAUAUACUUUAAUAAUACAUUGCCCCAAAAGGUAAUUGGCUUUGACGUUCAUUCCAGAAGUUAACUCUUUCACCUCAUUUUCUUCAAAGGUUGAAUUUUCCCUGUAUGAAAUAUAUAUAAGAUAAAUAAUAUGCAUUUUGAUCGUUCUUAAUUUGAAUAUGCAUUUGUGGCCAUAUAUCCUUGCAAGUAAGUGAUGUGGAUCUAUGUGCAAGGAGGAUAGGGGCAUACGAUUUUUUUUCUCCCGUUGCAACGCACGGGCAUGUUUCCUAGU